CAUUAGAUCAUUUUGGAAACUGGGGUCCCUUCUCUUGUUUCCUUUUCAUCUUCUCCGACUAGAUGUGUGAGAACUUCAGAGCUUAUCUCCGUAGAUGUAGUUUUCAUGGCGUCCUAAAACCAUUCUCUGUUUCUCCACCACUCAAGCUAAGUUUCAAAACUUAAUCAUCCUUCUUUUCUUUCCUAGCUCGAUGGAUUGAGCUUCUUUAAAAACUAAUACCACCAUCCCUACUAGAAAAUAAAGUUUAAUAGAUAAAGAUUUAAAUACUUUGUUAGUGUAAAAAUGAAAUUGCUAAUCAUUACGGGAUUUAUUGCAGAUCCGAUGCAGCUGGUGUUUGAGUAUUCAACCCGUUACAACCAAAAUUCUCACUGGCUGCAAGUAUCCCACUCAAAAGAAAAUCACUUCCAACCCCAUGUUCAAAAAGUGAAGCUUCUCCAUCCAUUUGCAGACAACUUCCAGAUUCAAGGUGUGAUAGCCGAUCCAUUCUCCUUUCUUUCGGAUAGCAGAUUGGGCAAAACAACUAAAGAAAAAAUCUAUUCAAUUAGCAAAAAAUGAGAGAGGGAUUCGAACCUUCGAUAGUUCUUUGUUCAAAACUAUACCGGUUUUCAAGAUCGGGGCUAUCAACUACUCAGCCAUCUCUCCGAAAGACUAUUUUUAUUUUAUUCCUCCAAAUAGAACAUGGCUAUAGGGGUGGAUACCCCCACUAUCUGCAGAAAGAUCUCAGGUGAUAGAUGAACGUUGGUCGGCUUCAAGAAUUUUUUUUUAGGUAAAGAUUAGGUUUAAUUAUAUUGUUUUAAUAUUUCUAUUAGUGUAUUAUUUUGUGUUAGUUUACAAGUUGUAGAUGAAUGUCGAUCAGCUUUGAGGAAAUUUUGGGUGUAAAAGUUAGAUUUAAUUGUAUUGCUUUGAUGUUUCUUUUAUUGUAUUGUUUUGUAAUAAUUUAUAGGUGGUAGAUAAAUGUUGGUCGGCUUUGAGAAAUUUUUGAGGUGGUAGAUGUAUGUCGUUUGACUUUGAGGAAUAUUUUUUUAAGGUUAGAUUUAAUUAUAUUAUUUUGAUGUUUCUAUUAUCGUAUUAUUUUGUUGUAGUUUACAGCUGACAGAUGAAUGUCAAGAGAAUUUUUUUUGGUGAAUGUUAGGUUUAAUUAAAUAAAUUCUCUACCUUUAUAUAUUCAAAAGAUGUUGAAUUGAAUUAUUGUAUUCAUUUUUAUUAUUUAAACAAAUGUCAUAUUUAAUGUAAUGUUUGAACUGAUUAAAUUAAGGUACACGCACAAGACAUGCGUACCUAAACUAGUAAUAUUUAUAAGUGGGAAUUAUUUUUAAGUAUAAAAUUUAAAUUACCACAAUAUCAAUCAAAUAUAGGACUACUUUACCCAUUAUCAUUAAAACAAUAACCUCUUAUUAAAUGUUAAAUUAUUGCUGUAAUGAACAUAAUUUAUUGGUUUGCUGUGUUUCAACAUCAAUUUGCUAUUAUUCAAUGAGUUUAAAUGUUGACAUUUAAUUUUUCUUAUUUAUUCCAUCUAAAGCCUAUCAUUUUCUGCUACUUAAUGGCUUUUUAUAUACACUGUAUAUAAACCCCGAUGUCGAGUUUAAAAUUAUCGGAUCAUGAGGGUAGCUACUCUAAUUUAUCUAGAUAGGAGAAUUUCUUACCACCCGUUCAAAAUUACAUGCAGAAAUCUUCGUUAAUUAGAAGUUACUAACCAAUAUUACAUAAUUAAGGAAAUAGUACGAAAAUAAACUAUUCUGGGAUCUAGUCUAAACAGAUACAAGAGCUGCUAAGAGAAAAGUACAUGCGACACAACUUUCACCAAGAGUGAGAAAGUGGGAGUUGCUAGAGGAUCACUAUCGAAAUAGCCAAAAAACCAUCACUGAUUCUUGCAAAAGACUAUACCUCGAAGAAGGUAUAUACCAAGCGUAGCAUCAGUACAAACGACAAGUAUUGGUAAGUUUCAUCGGGUGACCCGAGUCGAAUUACACAAAUAUAGCACAAAUACUCAAGGAAUCAUGCAUGCUCUUAAACUCAUUAUCCCACUCCCAAAGGUUCCCUUCCACCUUUCACUAAUCUCUAUUUGUAAAUCUUGAGGCACAACUCUAUCCCUCUUCCAAAACCAUAUCACCCCAAACGACCAAGCCUGGCAUCACAACAAAUACAAUAAGGGAAAAUCCCUAGAUCUAGGUCAAGAACCUAAUAAUUUACUUAUCAUACUCGGGGAAGGCCCGCUUAGGCAUAUAACUUGCCCAUUCGGAUUCACCCCAUAACUAUAUACAUUCGCCUCUUAUCACACUAACGUAGAACUCUCCAAUAUGAUCCAACGUCAUGUGGACUUCCACCAACCAAGGUAACCUAACAAGUCAGCCCUAAUAAGAAUUAAGGAUUAUGUUGCAAGUGGUUGACACUUAACUAAACUAUAAUGCCCCAAGUUAUCACAUACUCGAGUCAACAUACACUCAGCAUAAAAGCGACAAAAAACGGUUAGGAUUAGAAUCAAAAGUCAAUGAAAUAUCAUCAAGUCAUGGUCAAUCAAGCCAAGUUAGCAUAUAUAAGUAAUUAUAUAAUUAAAUCACAACCAAUUCAACAACCCAAUUCCAACCAUAUCCAACAUAUAACUAGUAUCCGGAUCACAUACAUUUCUAAAUAUGUACACAUAUAUCAAGCUUAUAAGAAUAGUAUCUAGUUCACUUAUGGAACUGUUAAACUCAUCUGACCCUCAUGCAUACAUGCUAUGGGUGAUACAUCCACCCUCUAGACACAACCUACAGGGGUCAAUUACUGUCGUUGUACAAAAUUUCAGACAUGAGUGUUUGCCAACCUUAUUUCAUCAAAAACCCGUGAGAACAUUCUAAUUAUUGAAAAUUUCAUAUUUAAUAAUGAAAUAAGUCAAGUCAUAUAAAACCAUAUACAUUGACCAACCAAAUAACAUGAGCUAAAAAAUCACACUACAAAGUAGUUAACACGUACAUAUGACACAAUUUAGACUAAAAGACAAUACCGUCACCAACACUACUGGUAGGGCCUUAACAACAACGUAUCCACAAUGCCAAGCUUUGAAGAUCAUAACCAAGAUUACUACCCUAGAUUGUUCGAAAACUUUUCUACACCAUAAAGUUUAACUAAAUACCCAAUAAUCUGUCCUUCCCACUACAACGCAUAUGAGUCCACGACAGGAAAUCACCAAUUAAUGGCAUACAUAAAACAUUACAUGAAUAAUUAUAUAAACAUCCCAUAAUAAUAUAGUGCCAAAAUUUCUAAUUGAUUUUACCUAUCCUAACUUCGUGCCUGAAGACCCAUACAUGAAAUCUCUAUUCCAUCUAUGUUACAUUCAUUAUUUCUAACUUGGGUCUAUGCAAUUUCAUUAACCUUAGUGAUAACAUUCAACUCACUCCCAUAAUUAAGGGGUGAGAUGUUCGUUGUCAAGUAACCCAAAUUGAAUUAGGGUCGAAUCUUAAAGAGUGAAUUAUAGACUUUAAACCCUAUGGAUGCUCAAAUUACUAUAAAAU